AGUGGCGGACGGGUGAGUAACGUGUGGGCAACCUGCCCUAUACUGGGGAAAUAAUCACUGGAAACGGUGACUACUACCGCAUGUCAUCACGGAAGGGCAUCCUUCUGUGAGAAAAGGAGUAAUUCGGUAUAGGAUGGGCCCGCAUCUGAUUAGCUAGUUGGUGAGAUAAUAGCCCACCAAGGCAACGAUCAGUAGCCGACCUGAGAGGGUGAUCGGCCACAUUGGGACUGAGACACGGCCCAUACUCCUACGGGAGGCAGCAGUGUGGAAUAUUGCACAAUGGGCGCAAGCCUGAUGCAGCAACGCCGCGUGAGCGAUGAAGGCCUUCGGGUCGUAAAGCUCUGUCCUCAAGGAAGAUAAUGACGGUACUUGAGGAGGAAGCCCCGGCUAACUACGUGCCAGCAGCCGCGGUAAUACGUAGGGGGCUAGCGUUAUCCGGAUUUACUGGGCGUAAAGGGUGCGUAGGCGGUCUUUCAAGUCAGGAGUUAAAGGCUACGGCUCAACCGUAGUAAGCUCCUGAUACUGUCUGACUUGAGUGCAGGAGAGGAAAGCGGAAUUCCCAGUGUAGCGGUGAAAUGCGUAGAUAUUGGGAGGAACACCAGUAGCGAAGGCGGCUUUCUGGACUGUAACUGACGCUGAGGCACGAAAGCGUGGGGAGCAAACAGGAUUAGAUACCCUGGUAGUCCACGCUGUAAACGAUGAGUACUAGGUGUCGGAGGUUUCCCCCUUCGGUGCCGCAGCUAACGCAUUAAGUACUCCGCCUGGGGAGUACGCACGCAAGUGUGAAACUCAAAGGAAUUGACGGGGGCCCGCACAAGCAGUGGAGUAUGUUGUUUAAUUCGACGCAGCGCGAAGAACCUCACCAAGACUUGACAUAUACAGGAAUAGUUAAGAAAUUUGCUAGUUUUUCGGAACUUGUAUACAGGUGAUGCAUGGUUGUCGUCAGCUCGUGUCGUGAGAUGUUGGGUUAAGUCCCGCAACGAGCGCAACCCUCGUGACUAGUUGCCACUAUUUAGUUAGGGAACUCUAGUCAGACUGCCGUGGAUAACACGGAGGAAGGUGAGGAUGACGUCAAAUCAUCACGUCCCUUAUGUCUUGGGCUACAAACGUACUGCAAUGGCCGGUACAAAGAGACGCAAGACCGCGAGGAGGAGCAAAAUUGAUAAAAAUAGUCUCAGUUCGGAUUGCAGGCUGAAACUCGCCUGCAUGAAGCUGGAAUUGCUAGUAAUCGCGAAUCAGAAUGUCGCGGUGAAUGCGUAACCGGGUCUUGUACA
rnacentral:rRNA from 1 species